UGUAGCCGUAGGCUGUAGUAGUGACAUUGACAUUUUAUAAAUAGCAUUAACACCAUUUGUCAAAUUUCUAAGUUUCUAACUAAAUCUAAAAUUAACCGGUUAGCCGGUUGAUCCAAGAUAAUUGAGCUAUUUUCAAUUAGCCAUUUUAUGGAACUAAGAGAAAUAAACUAGCCAAUUAUAUAAAUAUGACUACAGCUGUGGAGACCCGGCCUGCAGACUGCACUGCUUGCAGGAUAUUUAGCUCGAUUGGCCUUGUUGGUAUUGGAGGAUAUCUAGCUAAUGCUGCUUUCAAAAAUAAAACACUUCCUGGGAAAAUAGUUGUAUCAACUUUUUCUUUUGCAUUUGUAACCCUCGGAGUACAAAGAUAUAAGCAGCAAUAUCCUUUCAACAAGCAUGUUGAAAAGUCAUAACAAUAUGUUCAAUUUAAAUAUAAGGAGAAUAGGUUUUUGUAAACUAAGUUAUGUAUACAAUUGUUAAAAUGCUAUAAAAUAUAAACCUAAAAUAAAAUCUUCCUUACC